rnacentral:rRNA from 1 species
UACGUAGGGUGCAAGCGUUAAUCGGAAUUACUGGGCGUAAAGGGUGUGUAGGCGGUCUGUUAAGUCUGAUGUGAAAUCCCCGGGCUCAACCUGGGAACUGUGUUGGAAACUGGCAAACUAGAGUACGUAAGAGGGGGGUGGAAUUCCACGUGUAGCAGUGAAAUGCGUAGAGAUGUGGAGGAACACCGAUGGCGAAGGCAGCCCCCUGGGACGAUACUGACGCUGAGGCACGAAAGCGUGGGGAGCAAACAGG